rnacentral:misc_RNA from 1 species
UCGUAGGGCUUCUGCCCUGUCGAGAUAGCGUCCUUGCCUAUUUUUUGGAGUACCUUUUCGUUUCCUCAGCAGGCUUGCCUGCUACUGGGGACCCUUUAAACUCUUUGUAAAUACAGCAUCUGUCUGAAAAAACAAAUAAAAACA